UAACACAUGCAAGUCGAGCGGAUGACGGGAGCUUGCUCCUUGAUUCAACGGCGGACGGGUGAGUAAUGCCUAUGAAUCUGCCUGGUAGUGGGGGACAACGUUUCGAAAGGAACGCUAAUACCGCAUACGUCCUACGGGAGAAAGCAGGGGACCUUCCGGCCUUGCGCUAUCAGAUGAACCUAGGUCGGAUUAACUAGUUGGUGGGGUAAUGGCUCACCAAGGCGACGAUCCGUAACUGGUCUGAGAGGAUGAUCAGUCACACUGGAACUGAGACACAGUCCAGACUCC
rnacentral:rRNA from 1 species